UACGUAGGGGGCUAGCGUUGUCCGGAUUUAUUGGGCGUAAAGAGCGUGUAGGCGGCCGGGUAGGUCUGCUGUGGAAACUCGACGGCUCAACCUCGAGAUGGUCGGCGGAAACCAUCUGGCUAGAGUCCGGAAGAGGAGAGUGGAAUUCCUGGUGUAGCGGUGAAAUGCGCAGAUAUCGGGAGGAACACCGGUGGCGAAGGCGGUUCUCUGGGCCUUACCUGACGGCUGAGGAGCGAAAGCGUGGGGAGCGAACAGG
rnacentral:rRNA from 1 species